rnacentral:rRNA from 1 species
GAUGAACGCUGGCGGCGUGCCUAAUACAUGCAAGUCGAGCGAAUGGAUUAAGAGCUUGCUCUUAUGAAGUUAGCGGCGGACGGGUGAGUAACACGUGGGUAACCUGCCCAUAAGACUGGGAUAACUCCGGGAAACCGGGGCAAAUACCGGAUAACAUUUUGAACCGCAUGGUUCGAAAUUGAAAGGCGGCUUCGGCUGACACUUAUGGAUGGACUCGCGUCGCAUUAGCUAGUUGGUGAGGUAACGGCUCACCAAGGCAACGAUGCGUAGCCGACCUGAGAGGGUGAUCGGCCACACUGGGACUGAGACACGGCCCAGACUCCUACGGGAGGCAGCAGUAGGGAAUCUUCCGCAAUGGACGAAAGUCUGACGGAGCAACGCCGGGUGAGUGAUGAAGGCUUUCGGGUCGUAAAACUCUGUUGUUAGGGAAGAACAAGUGCUAGUUGAAUAAGCUGGCACCUUGACGGUACCUAACCAGAAAGCCACGGCUAACUACGUGCCAGCCGCCGCCGUAA